AUGAACAUGGCGCUUACCAAACCAGUUACCGAUGAGGAGGUGGGCGAUGCUUUAUUCCAAAUCGGGCUGCUUAAGGCACCGGGGCCAGACGGAUUCCCCGCGCUUUUCUAUCAAAGGAACUGGGGGUUUUUGAAAGCGGAUGUGGUGAAGGGAGUGAAGAAGUUUUUUGAUGAUGGGAUCAUGCCUGAAGGAGUGAAUGACACCACCAUUGUUCCUAUCCCGAAAAGUAAUAAUCCCUUGAGCAUUAAGGAUUACCGGCCCAUUAGCUUGUGCAACGUGAUAUACAAGGUGAUCUCAAAAAAUUUGGUCAACCGUUUACGCCAAUUCCUUGAUGAUAUCAUUUCAGAAACCCAAAGCGCAUUUAUUCCAGGGCGCAUGAUAACGGACAAUGCGAUCAUUGCAUUUGAAUGUUUCCACAAAAUAUAACACAGUAAGAAUCAGAGGGACAAUUUUUGUGCGUACAAGCUGGACUUGGCCAAAGCCUAUGGUCGAGUUGACUGGAAUUUCUUGGAGUGUACUCUACAAAAUAUAGGUUUUGAUCCAAAGUGGAUUAAUUGGGUGAUGACGUGCGUAAAAUCAGUUCGGUUCUCUGUCAAAUGCAAUGGGGAACUCCUGCAAAUGUUUUCACCGUCCAUAGGCCUACGACAAGGUGACCCACUAAGCCCGUAUUUGUUUCUGUUUGUGGCUGACGGUUUAUCCACUCUUCUAAACAGAGAGGUGAUGAGCGGCUCAUUGACACCCAUAAAGAUUGCUAGGGGAAGCCCCGGGAUCUCAAAUCUGCUCUUCGCUGAUGAUAGCUUGCUCUUCUUUAAAGCAAACAUGGACCAAGCUGUGAAAGUCCGAGAGGUGUUGGAAGUGUUCCAGAGAAGUACAUGGCAGCUCCCAAGUCAAGAUAAAUGCUCCCUUCUCUUUAGUGAAGCUAGCCAGGCCAAUGCCAGGGACAGAAUCAUGAGGACUUUGGGAGUAGUCUCAGCCUCAUUCGAGAGUAAGUAUUUAGGGCUCCCUACGCCAGAAGGUAGAAUGAAAAAUAAGAAAUUCCAGCCUAUUAUGGACAGGUUUAGCAAGAGAUGCAAUGUGCGGAAUGAAAGAUACAUGUCCCAAGCGGCUAAGGAGGUGCAUGUGAAAUCUGUUGCACAGGCCCUCCCAACCUUCACCAUGGGUGUGUUUAAACUAAACCAAAGCUUCUGUGACAAUUAUGAGAAGGUUAUUAGGGAUUUUUGGUGGGGAGAUAAAGAUGAGCAAAGGAAGUUACAC
rnacentral:rRNA from 1 species